AUUGAACGCUGGCGGCAUGCCUUACACAUGCAAGUCGAACGGUAACGCGGGGGCAACCCUGGCGACGAGUGGCGAACGGGUGAGUAAUACAUCGGAACGUACCCAGUAGCGGGGGAUAGCUCGGCGAAAGCCGGAUUAAUACCGCAUACGCACUACGGUGGAAAGCGGGGGAUCGCAAGACCUCGCGCUAUUGGAGCGGCCGAUGUCGGAUUAGCUUGUUGGUGGGGUAAGAGCCUACCAAGGCGACGAUCCGUAGCUGGUCUGAGAGGACGACCAGCCACACUGGGACUGAGACACGGCCCAGACUCCUACGGGAGGCAGCAGUGGGGAAUUUUGGACAAUGGGCGAAAGCCUGAUCCAGCAAUGCCGCGUGUGUGAAGAAGGCCUUCGGGUUGUAAAGCACUUUUGUCCGGAAAGAAAUCUGUCUGGCUAAUACCUGGACUGGAUGACGGUACCGGAAGAAUAAGCACCGGCUAACUACGUGCCAGCCGCCGCAGUAA
rnacentral:rRNA from 1 species